rnacentral:misc_RNA from 1 species
AGCCGUUAUCUUAAAUAACCCCCCUCUUAUGCACCCAUGAGAUCCUGGCAACACGCAAAAGGCAAGCUCCAACUUAAUCACCUUGAACGUCCAUACCACAUCAACAUAACAAAAUUACAGCAAACUUAUUAUUGUAUAAAAAAAAUUCCUGUCAAUAAUUGGUGCAUUGUGAAAAAUCCUGAAUUUCUCAAUCCACUUGGGCAGUCCCGAAAAAGCAAGCAUUCUAAGUUCUUACAUUCUUGUUUUU